AUUGAACGCUGGCGGCAUGCUUUACACAUGCAAGUCGAACGGUAACAGGGUGCUUGCACCGCUGACGAGUGGCGAACGGGUGAGUAAUGCAUCGGAAUGUACCGUGUAAUGGGGGAUAGCUCGGCGAAAGCCGGAUUAAUACCGCAUACGCCCUGAGGGGGAAAGUGGGGGACCGAAAGGCCUCACGUUAUACGAGCAGCCGAUGUCUGAUUAGCUAGUUGGUGAGGUAAAGGCUCACCAAGGCGUCGAUCAGUAGCGGGUCUGAGAGGAUGAUCCGCCACACUGGGACUGAGACACGGCCCAGACUCCUACGGGAGGCAGCAGUGGGGAAUUUUGGACAAUGGGCGCAAGCCUGAUCCAGCCAUGCCGCGUGUCUGAAGAAGGCCUUCGGGUUGUAAAGGACUUUUGUCCGGGAGCAAAUCCUAGUGGUUAAUAACCGCUGGGUCUAAGAGUACCGGAAGAAUAAGCACCGGCUAACUACGUG
rnacentral:rRNA from 1 species